CUUGCCCCUAAAGGUGCUGCAGGUGUGGCUGCUGUGCUACAUGUGCCUUAAUAGGCACCAGAGAAGAGAGAUGGUUUGUCUAUGCCCAGUGCUCUGACCUGUGAACAUCUUAACGAUUAGUAUCCGAACAUU